rnacentral:rRNA from 1 species
CACGUAGGGCGCGAGCGUUUGUCCGGAAUUAUUGGGCGUAAAGAGCUCGUAGGCGGCCUGUUGCGUCCGCUGUGAAAGCCCGGGGCUUAACCCCGGGUCGGCAGUGGAUACGGGCAGGCUAGAGGUAGGUAGGGGAGAAUGGAAUUCCCGGUGUAGCGGUGAAAUGCGCAGAUAUCGGGAGGAACACCGGUGGCGAAGGCGGUUCUCUGGGCCUUACCUGACGCUGAGGAGCGAAAGCCAGGGGAGCAAACGGG